rnacentral:rRNA from 1 species
CCAUCAUUCAGUUGGGCACUCUAGCGAGACGUGCCGGUAAUAAACCGGAGGAAGGUGGGAUGACGUCAAAUCAUCAUGCCCCUUAUGACCUGGGCUACACACGUGCUACAAUGGCUGGUACAACGAGUCGCAAGUCGGUGACGACAAGCUAAUCUCUUAAAGCCAGUCUCAGUUCGGAUUGUAGGCUGCAACUCGCCUACAUGAAGUCGGAAUCGCUAGUAAUCGCGGAUCAGCACGCCGCGGUGAAUACGUUCCCGGGCCUU